GUCUUUUUGGAGACAUUCAAUAAAAUUGAAACGAUACAGAGAAGAUUAGCAUGGCCCUGUCAUCUCUUGCGCAAGGAUGACACGCACAAAUCGAGAAAUAGUCCAAAUUUCU
rnacentral:snRNA from 1 species